rfam:Oryza sativa (indica cultivar-group) chromosome 2, whole genome shotgun sequence.
AAAAAAUUAAAUCAUGGGUUUACGUGCCAACGUUUAACUGUCUGUUUUAUAUGAAAUUUCACUAUAAUUAGUAUUUUCAUUAUUGUUAAAUGAUAAAACAUGAUUAAUACUUUAUGCGUGACUUAUAUUUUCAAUUCUUUUAUAAUUUUUUCAAAUAAGACUGAUGGUCAAACGUUGGACACCGAAACCAGCGUUCGUCUUUUU